GUGGAUACCAGUCCAAAGGAUCGUUAAUAAAUUAAGCUGGGAUCACAAGAGUACCAAAUAUAAAAAAGCUGCAUAAGCUGAAAUCCAUAGAUUUUAACAUCCAGGAGUAAGAUUUGGUAGCAAAGCCUUUGGUCAAAAUAACUACAAUCAGCUGCUUCCUGUAGGGAUGGAUGAGCUUCCUGAACAUCUGUACUGGCAGUCUGGCCAACUCUUUUUCAUGGUUCUGCACAGAAAGAAGUGAACUCUGACUAAUGUGAUCCAGUUGAAACUAUUAUUAAUCAAUGUGAAAGACCUGAAAACGGGAGGUUGGCUAUAGUGCUAUAGGCCUUAAAUUUCCUGAUAACAUCAUCUACGGAGGAAAUAUGAACAUACCGACAGCAUGGCGAGCGCAAAGGAGCCCCUUGCGUCGUGGACCCCCACGAGGGAGAAUAUAUGUCGGUAUGCCGGGUGUCGGGAUUCCGGCGCCGGUAUACUGUGCGCCGGAAUCCCGACAUUCGACAUACUGAAGACCACCCCAGACAUAAAAGGAGGCAUAUUUCAUAUGGAGCUGUAACUGUGUAUUUACACUUGCUACAUCCUUUUUAAAAAUAUAUAUUGUUUAGGAAUUCAUUACUUUUCAUGUAAAACCGCAGACCUUAGGAAUAAUAUAGUAUAUGUUGUCCUCAUAAGAGCAGCUUACCUUAUUGUGAUUAUUAGCCAUAUCAAAGUAUUACAAACAUGAGUCAAUCUCAUAUAUCAUGAAUGCUAAUAACAUUUUGUAAAGGUUGUUAUUAACAUCAAUUAGGAUGACAUCAGGGUGAGACAAAAUCAUAACAAGGGAAUGAUAAACAAACACUACCACAAACUCACAACAAAAAAUGGAGCUGAUAUUGAAAUCAAAAAUAAAGAGCCCAGUAUUACUAGCAUUACCUUUUUCUCUCUACACCAAAUUCCCCAGGUAACCUACAGUACUAGUGUAGAUCAAUAUUGUAUUUGUCUCUACAAAGUAACAUGAUAUUGUGCCCAAGGCAGCUACUUCAAAGCAAAAUGAUAUCCAUGAUCCACUAGUGUGUACAUAAUAUUUUCUAUUGAGUAGCAAAAUUCAAUUUUUUUUCAUGUAGUUAUAGGAGAGUGAGCAGUUCAACUUGCUGUCAUACACCAGAGAACGCUUGUCUUGCUGCUAGGGCAGUUGACUGCAAUAUAUGCAAAGAGCCUUGAUUAAACUGCUUUGGUACCAUACAAAAUUGAAACAUUUUAGGAUUAGAAAGGGUACAUUUUAAGCAAAUAUGUGUGCCACUUUCUGCAUAGAGGGUGACACUGUGACUAGGUAUGGAAAAAGAGUACCUAGUAUUCAAUACCCUCUCACUGUAUAUAACCUGAAUGUGAUGUUAAAGGAAAGUUCUUCUGAAGCUACCAAGGAAGCACUUAUGAUUAUCUUCUUAUGAAUAAAGAAGAGGGGCUAAUGAGGUCAUCCCUUCAGAUUAUAGAUCACUUACAUCUCGGUAUGUAGAUCUUCUUUUAGAACUUCUUUGCUAUGAACAUUUAGACAAUACUCAAUAUGCUAUAGAUUCAGUAAAACAUCUCAUUAGCCUCAAGGUUUUGCUGGUAUAAUAAUUAAGGGGCAGUUUUACCUGAUUUUUCAUUAUUAGUUUUCCUAUAAUGCAGUAUUUUAUCUGGAAAUAAAUAAGACUUCCAGAGCUAGUAUUGUUCUAUGAAAUAAGCAACAGAUCAUAUGAAGGAUUUGUGGACAAAUUGAUCCAAGAGAACAAAGAUGUAGAGGAAACAAAAGAUCAAGCUGGAAGUACUAGAGCAUAAAUU